GUGAAAUUCCGUCGGAAUCUGGGAGGACCAUCUCCUAAGGCUAAAUACUCUCUAGUGACCGAUAGUGAACCAGUACCGUGAGGGAAAGGUGAAAAGUACCCCGGAAGGGGAGUGAAAGAGAACUUGAAACCGUGUGCUUACAAGUAGUCAGAGCCCGUUAAUGGGUGAUGGCGUGCCUUUUGUAGAAUGAACCGGCGAGUUACGAUCUGAUGCAAGGUUAAGCAGAAAAUGUGGAGCCGUAGCGAAAGCGAGUCUGAAUAGGGCGAAUGAGUAUUUGGUCGUAGACCCGAAACCAGGUGAUCUACCCUUGGUCAGGUUGAAGUUCAGGUAACACUGAAUGGAGGACCGAACCGACUUACGUUGAAAAGUGAGCGGAUGAACUGAGGGUAGCGGAGAAAUUCCAAUCGAACUUGGAGAUAGCUGGUUCUCUCCGAAAUAGCUUUAGGGCUAGCCUCAAGUGAUGAUUAUUGGAGGUAGAGCACUGUUUGGACGAGGGGCCCCUCUCGGGUUACCGAAUUCAGACAAACUCCGAAUGCCAAAUAAUUUAACUUGGGAGUCAGAAUGUGGGUGAUAAGGUCCAUAUUCGAAAGGGAAACAGCCCAGACCACCAGCUAAGGUCCCAAAAUAUAUGUUAAGUGGAAAAGGAUGUGGCGUUGCCCAGACAACUAGGAUGUUGGCUUAGAAGCAGCCAUCAUUUAAAGAGUGCGUAAUAGCUCACUAGUCGAGUGACACUGCGCCGAAAAUGUACCGGGGCUAAACAUAUUACCGAAGCUGUGGAUUGUCCUUUGGACAAUGGUAGGAGAGCGUUCUAAGGGCGUUGAAGCAUGAUCGCAAGGACAUGUGGAGCGCUUAGAAGUGAGAAUGCCGGUGUGAGUAGCGAAAGACGGGUGAGAAUCCCGUCCACCGAUUGACUAAGGUUUCCAGAGGAAGGCUCGUCCGCUCUGGGUUAGUCGGGUCCUAAGCUGAGGCCGACAGGCGUAGGCGAUGGAUAACAGGUUGAUAUUCCUGUACCACCAUUAUUCGUUUUAAGCGAUGGGGGGACGCAGUAGGAUAGGCGAAGCGUGCUGUUGGAGUGCACGUCCAAGCAGUGAGAUUGAGUGUUAGGCAAAUCCGGCACUCUUAAGAUUGAGCUGUGAUGGGGAGAGGAACUUGUUCCUCGAGUCGUUGAUUUCACACUGCCGAGAAAAGCCUCUAGCUAGAAUAACGGUGCCCGUACCGCAAACCGACACAGGUAGUCAAGAUGAGAAUUCUAAGGUGAGCGAGCGAACUCUCGUUAAGGAACUCGGCAAAAUGACCCCGUAACUUCGGGAGAAGGGGUGCUCUUUGAGGUUCACGCUUCGAAGAGCCGCAGUGAAUAGGCCCAAGCGACUGUUUAUCAAAAACACAGGUCUCUGCUAAACCGUAAGGUGACGUAUAGGGGCUGACGCCUGCCCGGUGCUGGAAGGUUAAGAGGAGUGGUUAGCGCAAGCGAAGCUACGAAUCGAAGCCCCAGUAAACGGCGGCCGUAACUAUAACGGUCCUAAGGUAGCGAAAUUCCUUGUCGGGUAAGUUCCGACCCGCACGAAAGGCGUAACGAUUUGGGCACUGUCUCAACGAGAGACUCGGUGAAAUCAUAGUACCGGUGAAGAUGCCGGUUACCCGCGACAGGACGGAAAGACCCCGUGGAGCUUUACUGUAGCCUGAUAUUGAAAUUCGGUACAGUUUGUACAGGAUAGGUAGGAGCCUUAGAAGCGUGAGCGCUAGCUUACGUGGAGGCAUUGGUGGGAUACUACCCUAAUUGUAUUGGAUUUCUAACCCGCAGCACUUAUCGUGCUGGGAGACAGUGUCAGGCGGGCAGUUUGACUGGGGCGGUCGCCUCCUAAAGAGUAACGGAGGCGCUCAAAGGUUCCCUCAGAAUGGUUGGAAAUCAUUCAUAGAGUGUAAAGGCAUAAGGGAGCUUGACUGCGAGACCUACAAGUCGAGCAGGGUCGAAAGACGGACUUAGUGAUCCGGUGGUUCCGCAUGGAAGGGCCAUCGCUCAACGGAUAAAAGCUACCCCGGGGAUAACAGGCUUAUCUCCCCCAAGAGUUCACAUCGACGGGGAGGUUUGGCACCUCGAUGUCGGCUCAUCGCAUCCUGGGGCUGUAGUCGGUCCCAAGGGUUGGGCUGUUCGCCCAUUAAAGCGGUACGCGAGCUGGGUUCAGAACGUCGUGAGACAGUUCGGUCCCUAUCCGUCGUGGGCGUAGGAAAUUUGAGAGGAGCUGUCCUUAGUACGAGAGGACCGGGAUGGACAUACCUCUGGUGUACCAGUUGUCGUGCCAACGGCAUAGCUGGGUAGCUAUGUAUGGACGGGAUAAGUGCUGAAAGCAUCUAAGCAUGAAGCCCCCCUCGAGAUGAGAUUUCCCAACUUCGGUUAUAAGAUCCCUCAAAGAUGAUGAGGUGAAUAGGUUCGAGGUGGAAGCGUAGCGAUACGUGGAGCUGACGAAUACUA
rnacentral:rRNA from 1 species